rnacentral:lncRNA from 1 species
GGAACAUCACACGCUGGGGCUGUCGGGAGGUGGGGGACUGGAGGAAGAAUAGCAUUCGGAGAAAUACCUAAUGUAGAUGACGGGUUGAUGUGUGCAGCAAACCACCAUGGCACAUGUAUACCUAUGUAACAAACCUGCACAUUCUGCACAUGUAUCCCAGAACUAUUCUGCACAUGUAUCCCAGAACUUAAAGUAAAAAAACAAACAAACAAAUAAGCAAAACAAAGAAACAAGCACAGGCACUGUGGACCACGGAGGUUUCCAGCUGGUGAAGUGACACCCUAAGUGUCCUGUGACUGUUUUGAUGUUGUAGGCACCAUGACAACAGUUUAACAUGUAUGAUCUUAUUGAAUCCUCACAUUAAAACUGCUGUGAUCUGUCCGUAGUCCCGUUUUAUAGAUGAGAGACCUGAGCUUUACAGAGGAUAAGCAAGUUUCCCAAGGUCACACAUUGGAAAAUGGCAGAGUUGGAAUUUGACCUAAAAAUGUUAGACACUCACCUGUUAGUGGUCAAAGUGGUGUGAGCCUGUAAUUCCCACUACAUGAGGCUGAGGUGGGAGGAUCACUUGAGCUCAGGAGUUUGAGGCUACAGUGAGCUGUGAUUGAGCUGCUGCACUCCAGCCUGGGUGACAGAGUGAAACUUUGUCUCGGCAGAAAAAAAAAAAAAAAAGAAAAAGAAAAUAUCAGAGACUCACAUGCUGGACAUCUAACCUCAAGGAAACAUUCCCUCACUGUCCCUCAGAUGGACUGACCAUGACCUCCCAAAAGCAAAGAGGAGACCAGGAAAAGGUUCAGCAUGGCUCAUGUUGUUAUCCUGAUGAUUUCUUUUAAUUUUGCUUUUAGAAAAUCAAAGGAAUUACAAAACUUCAGCUUUGUGAUAUGUUUGUGCCUGAGACUGGAGGAAGGAAAGGGAAGUGUACCACUCCAUUGUGGACCACCAUUCCACUUAUGGACCACUUAAAAUGGACUGCACUAAUUCCAGGCAUACUACACUGUUUACUGACUGCAGAGAGUUUUACAAGACCUGGUAGACAAAACAGCAACAACAAAGAAAAUACCUCCUCAGACUAAUUGAGGUUGCAGGAUACAGUUUUCAAGAAAUUGAUUCUUGGUUAGUACCCAGCAUUCAUUGUGCAGGCCAAGACUUUUAAACAUGAG